rnacentral:misc_RNA from 1 species
ACAAUCGAAAGGGAUCUCCCACUGUGUCUGCGGAAGAUAUUGACGAUGAAGAAGAUCCCGUUGAGACAAUGAUGAAGAAAACAGGAUGACUGUAUGAUAGAACAUCGGGAUUGGAGAAAAUGCCAAGACAAGGUUGCUGAAUUCAAGAACUGCAUAUCGAAUUACCACAAACGGA